rnacentral:ncRNA from 1 species
UACGUAAAACCUAGUUUUACUAAUAUAAUUCUGUAAUAGGGUCAGAAGUUUCUACAAAUCGCCGUAAACGAUUUAUUAUUAGGAGGAUGAAUGGAAAA